rnacentral:rRNA from 1 species
AGAGUUUGAUCAUGGCUCAGAUUGAACGCUGGCGGCAUGCCUUACACAUGCAAGUCGAACGGCAGCACGGGGGCAACCCUGGUGGCGAGUGGCGAACGGGUGAGUAAUACAUCGGAACGUGUCCUGUAGUGGGGGAUAGCCCGGCGAAAGCCGGAUUAAUACCGCAUACGCUCUACGGAGGAAAGGGGGGGAUCUUAGGACCUCUCGCUACAGGGGCGGCCGAUGGCAGAUUAGCUAGUUGGUGGGGUAAAGGCCUACCAAGGCGACGAUCUGUAGCUGGUCUGAGAGGACGACCAGCCACACUGGGACUGAGACACGGCCCAGACUCCUACGGGAGGCAGCAGUGGGGAAUUUUGGACAAUGGGCGCAAGCCUGAUCCAGCAAUGCCGCGUGUGUGAAGAAGGCCUUCGGGUUGUAAAGCACUUUUGUCCGGAAAGAAAUCCUUUGGGCUAAUACCCUGAGGGGAUGACGGUACCGGAAGAAUAAGCACCGGCUAACUACGUGCCAGCAGCCGCGGUAAUACGUAGGGUGCAAGCGUUAAUCGGAAUUACUGGGCGUAAAGCGUGCGCAGGCGGUCCGCUAAGACAGAUGUGAAAUCCCCGGGCUUAACCUGGGAACUGCAUUUGUGACUGGCGGGCUAGAGUAUGGCAGAGGGGGGUAGAAUUCCACGUAGCAGUGAAAUGCGUAGAGAUGUGGAGGAAUACCGAUGGCGAAGGCAGCCCCCUGGGCCAAUACUGACGCUCAUGCACGAAAGCGUGGGGAGCAAACAGGAUUAGAUACCCUAGUAGUCC